rnacentral:rRNA from 1 species
UACGUAGGUAGCGAGCGUUAUUCGGAUUUACUGGGCGUAAAGGGUCCGCAGGGGGUCUGCCAAGUCCGGCGUGAAAGCCCACGGCUCAACUGUGGAACGGCGCUGGAAACUGGCGGACUGGAGUGCAUGAGGGGUGAGCAGAAUUCCUGGUGUAGCGGUGGAAUGCGCAGAUAUCAGGAGGAAUACCGAUGGCGAAGGCGGCUCACUGGCGUGCAACUGACCCUCAGGGACGAAAGCGUGGGGAGCAAAC